UUCCAUCACCAUUUCCUGGAGCUUGCUCAAACUCAUGUCCAUUGAGCUGGUGAUGCCACUCAGUGAUCUCAUCCUCAGUCUUCCCCUUUUCCUCCUGACCCCAAUCUCUCCCAGCAUCAGGGUCUUUUCCAAUGAGCCAGUUCUUCACAUCAGGUGGCCAAAGUAUUGGAGCUUCAGCUUCAUCAUCAG